rnacentral:rRNA from 1 species
CGGUCGCAUGUACGUUUACAUACACCUAAUACGCCAGUGCGAACUACAGAGCCAAGCUUAAACCCAAAGGACUUGACGGUACCCCAUAUCCCCCUAGAGGAGCCUGUCCUAUAAUCGAUAAUCCACGUUUAACCUCACCAUUUUUAGUUAAUCAGCCUGUAUACCGCCAUCUUCAGCAAACAAAA